rnacentral:rRNA from 1 species
UGAACGCUAGCGACAGGCUAACACAUGCAAGUCGAGGGGCAGCAUAAAAGUAAGCAAUACUUGGUGGCGACCGGCGCACGGGUGAGUAACGCGUAUGCAACCUACCUAUCAGAGGGGAAGUAACCCGGCGAAAGUCGGACUAAUACCGCAUAAAACAGGGGCACCGCAUGGUGAUAUUUGUUAAAGAAAUUCGCUGAUAGAUGGGCAUGCGUUCCAUUAGGUAGUUGGUGAGGUAACGGCUCACCAAGCCGACGAUGGAUAGGGGAACUGAGAGGUUGGUCCCCCACACUGGUACUGAGACACGGACCAGACUCCUACGGGAGGCAGCAGUGAGGAAUAUUGGUCAAUGGGCGGGAGCCUGAACCAGCCAAGUCGCGUGAAGGAAAAGAAGGAUCUAUGGUUCGUAAACUUCUUUUGCAGGGGAAUAAAGUGCAGGACGCGUCCUGUUUUGUAUGUACCCUGAGAAUAAGGAUCGGCUAACUCCGUGCCAGCAGCUGC